CGGAGAGGGCGCAUGAGAAACGGCUACCACAUCUAAGGAAGGCAGCAGGCGCGCAAAUUACCCAAUCCUGACACAGGGAGGUAGUGACAAGAAAUAACAAAGCAAGCACCAAUGGUGUUUUGCUAUUGGAAUGAGUAGAAUUUAAAUCUCUUUUCGACUAUCAAUUGGAGGGCAAGUCUGGUGCCAGCAGCCGCGGUAAUUCCAGCUCCAAUAGCGUAUAUUAAAGUUGUUGCGGUAAAAAAGCUCGUAGUUGGAUUUCUGUUGCGAAUGGCCGGUCUUCACUACGUGAAUGUAUCUGGCUCAAUCGUGGCAUCCUCAUAGGAAACGUUGCUGCGCUUCACUGCGUGGUGCGGUGCCUAUGACUUUUACUUUGAGGAAAUUAGAGUGUUCACGGCAGGCAAUCGCCCUGAAUAUGUUAGCAUGGAAUAAUAAUAUAGGAUCUUGGUUCUAUUUUGUUGGUUUCUAGAGCUAAGAUAAUGGUUAAUAGGAACAAUUGGGGGCAUUUGUAUUAACAUGUCAGAGGUGGAAUUCUUGGAUUAUGUUACGACAAACUACUGCGAAAGCAUUUGCCAAGGAUGUUUUCAUUGAUCAAGAACGAAAGUAAGGGGAUCGAAGAUGAUUAGAUACCGUCGUAGUCUUUACCAUAAACUAUGUCAACUCGGGAUGUAGCGUCGUUCUUUUUAUGACUCGCUGCGCACCGUAUGAGAUAUCAAAGUUUUUGGAUUCCGGGGGGAGUAUGGUCGCAAGGCUGAAACUUAAAGGAAUUGACGGAAGCGCCACAACAGGAGUGGAGCCUGCGAUUUAAUUUGACUCAACACGGGAAAACUCAUCAGGUCCAGACAUAGUGAGGAUUGACAGAAUGAUAGCUCUUUCUUGAUUCUAUGGGUGGCGGUGCAUGUCCGAUCUUAGUUAGUGGAGUGUUUUGUUUGCUUAAUUGCGUUAACGAACGAGACCUCAACAUAUUAAAUAGACCAUCCUAUCCUAAGAUAAGCUGCUGUUUUAUUAGAGGGACUCUGUUCACUUCAGGGUAGGGAAGUUUGAGUCUAAAUCAGGUCUGUAUGACAUUAGAUGUUCUGGGCUGCACGCGCGCUACACUGAUGCGUUCAACGAGUGUAAAACCUUGUCAGGCAUGGUUGUGUAAUCUUCUGAACUCGCAUCGUGAUGGGGAUAGAUUAUUUCAAUUUUUUAUCUUCAGCGAGGAAUUCAUAGUAAAUUGAAGUCAUCAGCUUGGAUUGAUUACGUCCCUUCCCUUUGUACACACCUCCCGUCGCUUGUACCGAUUGAGUGUUUCGGUGAAUACUUUGGCCUGACACCUUUAUGGGUUCGCUCAUUUUGGCGUAGGAAAAUUGAGUUAACCUCAACAAUUAGAAGAGA
rnacentral:rRNA from 1 species